rnacentral:lncRNA from 1 species
UUGGUCGCCUAUCGCAAUAUGUCGCCUGGGGGCGGGGGGCUGCGGAGUCGUCCAGCGCGCGGGCGGGAUUGGCUGGAGACCUGCCGCGCCGGCGUCUUGGAGUGCCCAGGAGAGCGCGCAGGGCUGCCCUGGCUGCUGAAGGACCAAGCAGGUCCUGAAACCACGGAGCCUGAGCCGGUCAAGGCCAGUCCAAGAAGGAAACCUUCAGUCUGAAGCCGCGGGGCCAGAGGUGGAAGGUAGCGUGCCGCUCACGGCCCUCGAGCGAGCGGGGAAUAGGCAGCGGCCUGGCGGCUUUGAAAACGCGAGAGCCGACUGGGAGACCCGCUGAGGGCUCUCGGCUGCUGCCAGGGCUUCUCAGGGGUCCCCUCGACCCCUCCGCCCUCCCCUCCCAGCAAGGCUGGUGCCCAAGUGUCUCUGACAGCAUUCGGUGCCCAGGACAGAAGGUGACUUGGGUACUGAACUCUGAGCCAGCUGAACGCAUCUACCUAGUUUUGUUCUAAUCCGGGGAGACUUGCUUUUCCUUCUUGGUAACAUCGUC